rnacentral:lncRNA from 1 species
GUGCCCAUGUCCCCCUCUUAGACGCCUCCAUCCCCCUCACACCCCACCCAGCAUUACGCACCAGAGCCAUCGCAGAACAGAUUGCGGAAUUACCAUUAGAAUAUAAGGAGCCUGGCUGCUGCGGGCGGCAAAUGGAGAAACCGCAAGAACUUCACUUCUUCAGAAGGUUAAGGACUCAAAGUCUACUUGCGUGUAUGAAGCGGAAGGGGACGGCUCGAGGAACGAAAAACACUUGAAUUCCUCUGACACAAUCUGGAGAACCUGGAAACAUAUGCAGGGAGGAACAAGGGAAGGGAAGAAAAGAAGAAAAUUUUUCUCCUCCACAAACUCAACAGGCGAAAGGUCAGAGGAUGAGGUCGUUGAAACACAACUGCUGCGAGACUGAUGAAAUGAUGGAGGGAAAGGCAUGGAUAUCACUGCAGACUGACUGCAGGGGACCAUAAUGAACAGAAGCCCUUAGUCAGUGGACCACCGAGAAACUUCAGUAGCUCUUCAGGUAUACGCCAUAAAACUGUUGAGUUCAGUUCAUUGUUGUAGUUAAUCUGAACACCUGAAUGAAACCGUUUUACAACUUUCUGUUCUAAAGUUUAAUUUUCCAACUGAAAAAUGAAUAUAUGUUCCGUAAAGACGGUAUGUGCCACAGCACCGUGGAGUUUAGAAGUUUAGAUCAUUGCAGAAACGCAUGGCGGUAGACGCUGAAGUAUAAACCCACCCAACCAAGUCACAUUUUUCAACUCCGAAACCCUUGAAAAGGACAAGCGAACAAUUUAGAUAGAACACUUCCGUGCAACAAUUACAGUUGAGGUUCAUUGCGGAAUUUAAUAUUUUCUGGUAGCCUACAUUUUCAAGUUCACUGAGUUCCAAUAUUUGACUUUGUGGUCUUAAUUUGUUAUCUUUAAUAUUUGCACAAUUUUAAUAUGCAGG